rnacentral:lncRNA from 1 species
UGCCAGUAGGUAAUAGUAAUUGGCAUAUAAUCCUGCCAGUGGAUAAUAAUAAUUGACAUAUGAUCUUGUCAGUAGGUAAUAGUAAUUAGUAUACGACCCUGCCAAUGGAUAAUAGUAGUUGGUAUAUGACCUUGUCAAUCUAUAAUAGUAGUUAGUACAUUAUUAUGAUCCUGUUACGGGUAUAAUAGUGAUCUUAGCAUUUAGUCUGAGAGAAUUAUUAAGAAUUAUUAUAUAAAAAAAAGAUAAAUAAUUUAUGAUUUUAUAUACAAAGUUGACAUAAUUUAUGA